UCCGGCAUGGUGUAGCGGUUAGCAUACUCCGCUUUCAAUUUGGAAGUUCCGGAGAGAUCCGAGUUCGAUUCUCGGUGUCGGAA